rnacentral:rRNA from 1 species
GAUGAACGCUGGCGGCGUGCCUAAUACAUGCAAGUCGAGCGAACAGACCAUUUGCUUGCUCCUCUGACGUUAGCGGCGGACGUGUGACUAACACGUGGAUCACCUACCUUUAAGACUGGGCUAACUUCGUGAAACCGGAGCUAAUUCCGGAUAAUUUAUUCAUCCGCAUUGUUCCAUAGUUUAUGACGGUUUUGCUGUCCCUUCUAGCUGUCUCCUCGCCGCAUUUGCUAGUUGGUACGGUAACUGCUUACCAAGGCAACGAUGCGUAGCCGACCUGAGAGGGGGAAGGGGCACACAGGAACUGAGAGACGGUACAGAAACCUACGGGAGGCAGCAGUAGGGAAGGGACGGAAAAGGGGGAAAGACUGAAGGAGCAAAGCAGGGUGAGUGAUGAAGGGCGGCGGAUCGGAAAACGCUGUUAGGAGGGAAAAACAAAUGUGGAAGGAACGAAGCACGUCGUGACGGUACCUAAAGAGAAAGCAACGGCUAACUACGUG